UUCUCGAGUCAGGCCAGCCGUGUCAGCAUGCAGUGUGCUCAAAAGCAUGUAAUAAAUUGAAAAUAAUAUAUUGGUACUUAGAUGUAUAGUAAUG